UGCCCAGUUGGUCAAGGUCCUAGCUACUAGA
rnacentral:piRNA from 1 species